rnacentral:rRNA from 1 species
ACGAACGCUGGCGGCGUGCUUAACACAUGCAAGUCGAACGGAAAGGCCCUGCUUUUGUGGGGUGCGCGAGUGGCGAACGGGUGAGUAACACGUGAGUAACCUGCCCUUGACUUUGGGAUAACUUCCGGAAACUGGGGCUAAUACCGGGUAGGAGCUCCUGCUGCCUGGUGGGGGUUGGAAAGUUUCGGCGGUUGGGGAUGGACUCGCGGCUUAUCAGCUUGUUGGUGGGGUAGUGGCUUACCAAGGCUUUGACGGGUAGCCGGCCUGAGAGGGUGACCGGCCACAUUGGGACUGAGAUACGGCCCAGACUCCUACGGGAGGCAGCAGUGGGGAAUAUUGCACAAUGGGCGGAAGCCUGAUGCAGCAACGCCGCGUGCGGGAUGACGGCCUUCGGGUUGUAAACCGCUUUCGCCUGUGACGAAGCGUGAGUGACGGUAAUGGGUAAAGAAGCACCGGCUAACUACGUG